rnacentral:rRNA from 1 species
GACGAACGCUGGCGGCGUGCCUAACACAUGCAAGUCGAACGGAGAUAUGAUUUCGGUUAUAUCUUAGUGGCGAACGGGUGAGUAACGCGUGAGCAACCUGACUCUUAGAGGGGGAUAACACUCGGAAACGAGUGCUAAUACCGCAUAAGACCACGACAUGGCAUCAUGACGAGGUCAAAGGAGCAAUCCGCUGAGAGAGGGGCUCGCGUCCCAUUAGAUAGAUGGCGGGGUAACGGCCCACCAUGUCAACGAUGGGUAGCCGAGCUGAGAGGCUGAUCGGCCACACUGGAACUGAGACACGGUCCAGACUCCUACGGGAGGCAGCAGUGGGGAAUAUUGGGCAAUGGGCGCAAGCCUGACCCAGCAACGCCGCGUGAGGGAAGAAGGCUUUCGGGUUGUAAACCUCUGUCCUUGGUGACGAAAAAAAUGACGGUAGCCAAGGAGGAAGCCCCGGCUAACUACGUGCCAGCAGCCGCGGUAAUACGUAGGGGGCGAGCGUUGUCCGGAAUUACUGGGCGUAAAGGGUGCGUAGGUGGCCUUUUAAGUUGGAUGUGAAAUACCCGGGCUUAACCUGGGGGGUGCAUCUAAUACUGGGAGGCUAGAGUGCAGGAGAGGAAAGCGGAAUUCCUAGUGUAGCGGUGAAAUGCGUAGAUAUUAGGAGGAACACCAGUGGCGAAGGCGGCUUUCUGGACUGUAACUGACAUUGAGGCACGAAAGCGUGGGGAGCAAACAGGAUUAGAUACCCUGGUAGUUCACGCGGUAAACGAUGAAUACUAGGUGUAGGGGGUAUCAACUCCCCCUGUGCCGGAGCUAACGCAAUAAGUAUUCCGCCUGGGGAGUACGGCCGCAAGGUUG